GAAGGCCUGGGGCUCGCAGGAGGAGGAGGGCGAAGGCAGCGCGGCGGUGGAGGGGCCCGGCUCCUCCGAGGAGAGGAACAGGGUGGUGGAGGACGGAGAGUCCAAGUCUAGUAAGGAAGAGUGGGUGUAGGAGCAGUUCAUGUACCAAGAACAAAGCUGGAGGGCCGUGGGGCUGAGCAGAGACAUUCAGAGACAAGAGGAUCAUGGAGCCCAAUCGGGCAUCCAGAACUGCCUCACGUCCUCCAAAACUUAAUUUCCUUGGGCUUCUAUGAUGAUCUUCGUUGGUAAACCAAGAAUCAUAGACACGUCUAAGCACAGAACUCCCGGUCUGCCUUCCAACUAUAUCCAGCAUCUGACCACGUGUCACAGUCUCCAGGCAACCAAGGUGCAGCCUUUGGUGCCUGAGCCAGGAUCAGAACACAGGUCUCCUGAGUUCCAGGAACGUCAUGAGACCCACAGGGCAGUCUUCUGGUUUUAAGACCUAGCUCUGCUAUCGCCGAGGCCCUCCAAGGAGAGGCUGGGCAGCCCUGACGGGGACGUGGGGCUGAUUCUCCCAGGAAGAACACUGCCCAUCCCCUGUGGUCCCUGAAGAUCAGAAGAACCCAGCCCUGGGGAAACCCUUGGUCUGUGUCUCCAGCAGCAUUAGUGAUUUCCUGAGAGUGAGGUGAGAAAAGUCAUUUCACUUUCUGUGUGAAUUAUUCAGCCUCAAACUUCCUCGUGGCUGAGGGUUGAGCCAGAGAGGAAUGCUCAUCAUCAAUCAAGUUAGGAAAGCAAGAUGGGUGGCAAGGAAGAAGGGCUGGCACAGAGACUGAUUCAGGCAGCCAAACGCUUCUCCUCCUUUAAAGAAGAGAGAGAAGUGAAAUCACGUGUCUGUAUGUAGUUGUUCACAGUGACGCUGUUCACUUGGACCAAAAGGUCCAAAAAUGAAUGAGUGUAAAAAAAUGUGGGGUGUGUGUGCAUAUAUAUAUUUAUAUGUACAUACAUA